rnacentral:rRNA from 1 species
CUACGGGUUGCAGCAGUGAGGAAUAUUGCGCAAUGGGGGAAACCCUGACGCAGCGACGCCGCGUGGAUGAUGAAGGCCUUAGGGUCGUAAAAUCCUGUCAGGUGGGAAGAAGUGGAUAUAGAUUAAUACUCUAUUUCUUUGACGGUACCACCAAAGGAAGCACCGGCUAACUCCGUGCCAGCAGCCGCGGUAAUACGGAGGGUGCAAACGUUGUUCGGAAUUACUGGGCGUAAAGCGCGCGUAGGCGGUUUGUUAAGUCAGAUGUGAAAGUCCAUGGCUCAACUAGGGAAGUGCAUUUGAAACUGGCAGACUUGAGUACUGGAGGGGGUGAUGGAACUCCCGGUGUAGAGGUGAAAUUCGUAGAUAUCGGGAGGAAUACCGGUGGCGAAGGCGAUCACCUGGCCAGAUACUGACGCUGAGGUGCGAAAGCGUGGGGAGCAAACAGGAUUAGAUACCCGGGUAGUC